AAAGGGGAGCUCGGAUGGACCGGGCUGAGAGGAGACCUAACGGUCUCGACCCUUCGAACCUGAUCCGGGUAAUGCUGGCGUAGGGACGAGG
rnacentral:ncRNA from 1 species